rnacentral:rRNA from 1 species
AACGAACGCUGGCGGCAUGCCUAACACAUGCAAGUCGAGCGCCCGUAGCAAUACGGGAGCGGCGCACGGGUGAGUAACGCGUGGGAACCUGCCCAGAGGUUCGGGACAACCGCGGGAAACUGCGGCUGAUACCGGAUGAUACCUGAGGGUCAAAGAUUUAUCGCCUUUGGAGGGGCCCGCGUCGGAUUAGGUAGUUGGUGGGGUAACGGCCUACCAAGCCUAUGAUCCGUAACUGGUCUGAGAGGAUGACCAGUCACACUGGGACUGAGACACGGCCCAGACUCCUACGGGAGGCAGCAGUGGGGAGUAUUGGACAAUGGGGGCAACCCUGAUCCAGCAAUGCCGCGUGGGUGAUGAAGGCCUUCGGUUGUAAAGCCUUUCGGCGGGACGGAUGAUGACGGUACCCGCAGAAGAAGCCCCGGCUAACUUCGUGCCAGCAGCCGCGGUAAU